CGAGCACGCGCGUGUGGCAUAUCAAUAAGCGGAGGAAAAGAAACUAACAAGGAUUCCCCUAGUAACGGCGAGUGAAGCGGGAAGAGCUCAAAUUUGAAAUCUUAAAGGGUUUCCCUUUACGAAUUGUAGUUUAAAGAAGUGUUUUCUGUUGGAGUUUCGGUAAAAGUUCUUUGGAAUAGGACAUCAUAGAGGGUGAGAAUCCCGUAUUUGACCGUUACUUUCCAGCUGUGUGAUACACUUUCAAAGAGUCGGAUUGUUUGGGAAUGCAGUCCAAAAUGGGUGGUAAAUUUCAUCUAAAGCUAAAUAUUGGCGAGAGACCGAUAGCGAACAAGUACCGUGAGGGAAAGAUGAAAAGAACUUUGAAAAGAGAGUUAAACAGUACGUGAAAUUGUCAAAAGGGAAGCGUUUGACACCAGUGUUGUUUAGUUGAAAAUCGAUUAAAUAUUUUUCGAUUUUAAGUAGUAUUGACCUUAUCAGCUUGCUGCUUUUUUCUCGGAAAUUAUUUAAUGCACUUUUCAGUUAACAAGUCAACAUCAAUUUCUUUUGUUGUAAAAAGGUAAGAGGAAGGUGGCUUGCGCUUCGGCUCAAGUGUUUAUAGCCUUUUACCCCUGCAAUCGGAGAGAUUGAGGUCUGCAGCGUAGAUCCUUCGGGGUUAGAUACAGUUUGUGCUAAGUUAUAGCUUUUCAUAGACAACUUGUUGACUAUGUUUAGUCUUGUAGCUUACUCGCUGAUGCUAUUUUACCUACGCUUAGGAUGUUGAUGUGAUACUGCGAGCA
rnacentral:rRNA from 1 species